UCUCUCUCUCUCUCUCUCUCCUAUGCCUCACUCUCUUUCCUAAUUUUCUUAUUUACUUUCAAAAUUUUCAUGCAUUUGGCAUUUAAAUUUUGUUUUAUUAGUAAUUUAAGGACAUUUACUUAGGUGACAAUGAAAAAGGUACUAAAAUUGCUAAUGUGGUGUUGAUGUUAGCAUGUCAUAUAUGACAUGAUGUUGACGUUAGCAUGCCACGUCUAACAUGGCGUUGACGUUAGCAUGCUGCACAAGGUAACGCCGUUAGCUAUUUUUUCCCUAAAUUGUUAAUGGCGCGGUAAUAGAAUUUCUAAAUUGCAACUAAAAUUUCUUUAAAUCAUGAAGUGCAAAAGCGUGAAAAUAUAGGAAGCUAAAGUAUACUUUGCCCAAAAUUAUAUACCACACACAUUUAUGAUUGAUAAUAUGUGGAGUAGGUUAAUUAGGGUUGUUCAAAUCCUAGCUCUCUCGCCUUUAUAUAUAUCCAAU
rnacentral:misc_RNA from 1 species